UACCCGCAGCACAAGUGGUGGUCAUUAUUAUUGGGCCUAAAGCGUCCGUAGCAUGUUUGUUAAAUGCCUGGGUAAAUCGAUGCGCUUAACGCAUCGAAUUCCGGGUAGACUGGCAAACUCGAGACCGGGAGAGGUGUAGGCUACUCGAGGGGUAGGGGUAAAAUCCUGUAAUCCUUCGGGGAGGACCAGUGGCGAAGGCGCUACACUAGAACGGCUCUGACUGUGAGGGACGAAGCCCUGGGGCGCAAACCGG
rnacentral:rRNA from 1 species